GAGUUAGCCGGUGCUUGCUAAAGAGGUACCGUCAUUGUGUUCUUCCCUCUCCACAGUGCUUUACGACCCGAGGGCCUUCAUCACACACGCGGCGUGGCUGGAUCAGGCUUUCGCCCAUUGUCCAAUAUUCCCC
rnacentral:rRNA from 1 species